rnacentral:rRNA from 1 species
AGCAGCCGCGGUAAUUCCAGCUCCAAUAGCGUAUAUUAAAGUUGUUGCAGUUAAAAAGCUCGUAGUUGAAUUUCGGGGUUCUACCGUUGGUCGGGCAAUAGUCUGUACUUGGCGUGUAGAAUUUCUACCUUCUGGGGAACCAUCAUGUUAUUUAUUUAGCGUGGUGGGAAACCAGGACCUUUACCUUGAAAAAAUUAGAGUGUUCAAAGCAGGCUUACGUCUGAAUACAUUAGCAUGGAAUAAUAAAAUAGGACGGUGGUCCUGUUUUGUUGGUUUCUGAAUCACCGUAAUGAUUAAUAGGGAUAGUUGGGGGCAUUAGUAUUCAAUUGUCAGAGGUGAAAUUCUUGGAUUUAUUGAAGACUAACUUCUGCGAAAGCAUUUGCCAAGGAUGUUUUCAUUAAUCAAGAACGAAAGUUAGGGGAUCGAAGACGAUCAGAUACCGUCGUAGUC